GAUUUCUGGUUCGGCGCACUUGGCCCGCCUCGGUUUACGGGGACGUGUGCCGGUGGGCGCCAUCCAUCCUUUGAGCACGGCGGUUCUGCCCUUCACGGGGUUGGAGCCGACCGACUCAAUCUUUUACUUUGAAAAAAUUAGAGUGUUUAAAGCAGGCUUGUGCUAUGAAUACAUUAGCAUGGAAUAAUAAUUUAGGACUUCGGUUCCUAUUUUGUUGGUUUCUAGGACUGAAGUAAUGAUUGAUAGGGAUAGUUGGGGGUGCUAGUAUUCAGCGGCCAGAGGUGAAAUUCUUGGAUUCGCUGAAGACUAACUUAUGCGAAAGCAUU
rnacentral:rRNA from 1 species